rnacentral:lncRNA from 1 species
GAAAAAACGAAUGGGCCAAACAUGACUGCUACUGUCUUGCUCAAUUCUCUUUCCCUUUCUUUUUUGUUUUUGGGGUUUUUCUGAUUGGCUUGGGUGGGUUCCCGUGUUUCUUAGUUGUAUUCAGCCAACGACUUUGAUACUUGACUCAGGACGUAUGUUAUUAUUUGUUCAGAUGGCUGAUUUUUCCUUAUUUUCCCUUCUGUAGCCUGGGCUAAAAUUAGCUGGCAUUGGCUGAAAAGAGAGCUGUCUUAGGAUUAGAUUCAGCUGUGUGUGUGUAGCAGAAAAAACAACAGAGGCUUAAACUAGAUAGAGGUUUCUUUUUCUGCUGCAGGAGAGGCCCCGAGAAGGGCAGUCCGGAGCAGGUUCUGGAUCCGCUCACGAAGUCCAGGGGACCCAGCUCCUCCCCCCUGAUCACCGCCCCCACCCCCGCCGCCGCCCUGAAGGGGCCUCAUCCUCACGGUCCAAGGUUGCGGCCGGAGCGCCAGCCAUCAAGCCCAGCGACAGGACGGAGGGCAGGGAGAGCGAGCAGCUGCUGCCUUUCCACAUCUGCAUCUUCUUGGCCAAACGCCUCCCCAGAUCAGGACCGUUCUUCUCAGGACGAAGGGAAGGAAGGGUUUCGAGAGGAAGGCAAACAUGGCUCCCGCAGCCAAGGGUAAAACUGCACCCAGGGCGGUCCAUUCCCAGGACGGUCUCUGCGACGGUGACAGCAAAUUUACCAAACCCCUGGUGGGCGCGGUGCUGGGACCUGGUGCGAAUGACCCAAUCCUCAGCCCGCCUUGGAAGGAGACACUUGCUAUCCUGCUUCUACAGAGGGGCAAGCCGAGGCACAGAGAGGCUAGGUCACCUGUCCAAGGUCACCCAGCUAACAGGCGGCACAAGCUGGAUUUGAAUGCGGGCAGCAUGCCCCCUUCCCCCCGGACAUGGCCCAUCGACCAAGGGGCACCUCUCUCCAGUCACCCCUCAACACCCCGCAAAAGUUCUCACGACACGUGCAAUGUGCUCGAGAACCUUCUGCUGCUUUGUUAGCCACCCCGGGGCAGCCAGCACAGGCAGGUGCUCAGGAGGCCGCGACGUGAGUGGACGCAGGUGCGGGCCCGAGAUGCAGACCUGACCCCACGCUCCAGGCCAAGGGGGGAGACGGAAGCCUCUCGGCUGGGGGGGCUCCAGGGCGUGGAGUCCGCGGGGCUGGGGCAUCCUCUGAGUCGUGAGCAAUAAGGAACUAGGUCCACGAGGUAGGCCCGAGCCAGACGCCAAACUCCUCUCAGGUCCAAGGUGAGAAGCGUGCCUCAGCCCUGAGGCUGGGGGUGCAGAGCGGCCCCCCAGAAGACCGUUCUGGCAGCCUGUGCAGAAGGCGGGG